rnacentral:pre_miRNA from 1 species
GGGGUAGUGCCGGAUCUUGGUCUGUGUCCCCCAGCGCCCUGGGCUCUGGGGCCUGCACUGCUGGAAUUGCCACUCCCAGGGCCACGCAUCCCCCU